GUGGGGAAUCUUGCGCAAUGGGCGAAAGCCUGACGCAGCCAUGCCGCGUGGAUGAUGAAGGUCUUAGGAUUGUAAAAUCCUUUCACCGGUGAAGAUAAUGACUGUAGCCGGAGAAGAAGCCCCGGCUAACUUCGUGCCAGCAGCCGCGGUAAUACGAAGGGGGCUAGCGUUGCUCGGAAUUACUGGGCGUAAAGGGAGCGUAGGCGGACAUUUAAGUCAGGGGUGAAAUCCCGAGGCUCAACCUCGGAACUGCCUUUGAUACUGGGUGUCUUGAGUGUGAGAGAGGUGAGUGGAACUCCGAGUGUAGAGGUGAAAUUCGUAGAUAUUCGGAAGAACACCAGUGGCGAAGGCGACUCACUGGCUCAUUACUGACGCUGAGGCUCGAAAGCGUGGGGAGCAAACAGGAUUAGAAACCCCGAGUAGUCC
rnacentral:rRNA from 1 species